UAGUAAAGUAGGUGUAGUAAAGUAAGUGUAGUAAAGUAGGUGUAGUAAAGUAGCUGUAGUAAAGUAGCUGUAGUAAAACAUAUUUUAUGUAAGCUCGUGAGAUCAGGAUGGUAAUACGAGGCGAAUCCUAACUCUCAAAUCCCAUCCUAACCAUUUUGGAGGAUAAUAUCUGACCCUGUAACAGAAGUUAGGACCAAUGUCCCCAGAAGCUGACCUCAGCUCAGUCAGAGUACAGUCUCCUCCCUCCUGCACUCCAUGGCCUCCAGCGUGGCCUUCAGGGCCCCGAUCUGGGUCAUGUGACGAUCUGACAUUGCUGACACCUGACUCUCCAGCCUCCACAGCUUCUCCCUGUACUUCCUGCGAGUGUUCCGGUACGACCCUGUGGCCUUGCUGCAAAACAGAGACAGGUGGCUGUCAGAGACACUCACUAAGUUUAUUGAUUGAGUGAAUUGAUUAGCUAAUUAAAAGUUACAGGAUGCUCUAGCUGGAGACGACAUUAUAAAAACAGAGAAAGAUGGCUGUCAAGAGUCAAGCGAAACCGGAUUUAACUCCAGCCCUAAUCUAGCUAACAUCUGACUCCACGUAUCAGCUGCACAUCAACACCUUGAAUAACUGAAUCAGGUGUUUUAGUGUAGAGAUACAGCAAGACACCUGCACACCCACUCGCUCUCUGUAUGUCAAAGAGAUACUAUAGAGGGCGAACUGGAAGUAGUCGUAGAGGUAAGUAGUGGACAGGAAGUGGUCAUAUAAGUAGGAAGUGUGUUUCCCGGUUACCUGUGAGCUUGUGCGAGCCGAGCCAUCUGCUCAUCGUUGUCUCUCCUGCGAGAGGCGCUGUCGGAGAGAACCAGGUCCAGAGACUCCCUCACCGCCGACACUCUCCUCUUCAGCACCUGCUCCCUGGGAGACCACAACACAGGGGUGACUUUACUGUUCCACAAAGCUUCGUAGUGGAUGUGGUACUUCAUUUCCCUCAACAUGACGACCCAGCCCCAUUACUGCAAGUAAGGCAGGGUGCAUUUGUUAAGUAUUUGAACAAAGCCUGAGGCACAACAAAACACUCUCUCAUUCCACACACACCCAACUUCAAGGACCCUCAGUGCCAAUCUGGAAGGUAUAACCUCAGGUAAGCCCCAGCAGACAGCCAGUAACAAUUUACAUCCUCAGUCUGCAUUUCUCCUGAUAGCGUUCCUAAGCAACUGUCUAACACCCCGCAACAGAUGCCCUGAGAGAUGGCCUGUAUGGGCUGAAGUGAUUCUGAUCAGCUGAAUACCUCUUUGACAGCCUGUAGCUCUCGAAGGAUGGUGCGGUUUUGAGGCCCAGGGAUGUCUCCAUCGCUGCUUAGCUUAUCCUCGUUCUCAGAAGUCCUCUGGAACACACAACAGGCAAAUAGAUGACAGGUUGAGAACUACAUGUCAAACGUCUAGGUGAUGCCGGUACGGCGGAGUCAGGCGCAGCACACAGAGAUGAGUAAUAACUGUAACUUUACUCAAAAACAAUAUUCCAUGAAGGAGACAAAUAAUCCAGGUCACAAAACAAGACAACUUGACAAUAACAAACACGUACAAAACCAAGUGGGAAAACCAGAGGGUUAAAUAGGGAACAAUGAUUAUGGAAUGGAAACCAGGUGUGUAUAAUGAAGACAAAAGAAAUCGAAAAUGAAACGUGGAUCGGUGGUGACUAGAAAACCGGUGACGUCGAACGCCGACCGCCGAACGCCGCCCGAACAAGGAGAGGGACCAACUUCGGCAGAAGUCGUGACACUACAUAAUGAAAAUGUAUGUUUGUAAAGUAUAAAGAUAUUAAGUAUGAUAUAUACUGUAAUAUAUUAUUAUGAUAUUGACAAGAGAUGAGACGCACUGUAUGUUACAAAUGGCCUGUACAGUAAACAUGGUUCCAACAUGAAGUUGCUGGGGUCUUCUUGAUAGAGGGUUUCACACCGCUUUACUAAAAUUGCAUUGGCCAAUACUGUACUGUAACACCAUAAUAUAUGUAAUUUACAUAGCAGACGUCACACUUUAUCCAAAGUGAUACCAUUUUCCUAAUUGACCCCAGUGGGAAUCGAACCCAGAACUUUGGCGUUUAUACUGCUAUGCUCUUACUAAUUGAGCCAGACAGGUCCACGACAAUAUACAAGUACAAUACAAUAUGGUAAAAUAUAAAUAUAGGAUUACUAUAGAUGUGAAAGGAUCAUGUUUUCCAUCCCCAAUGAGCCACCCUCCUUCUGGCCAUUGAUGAGGCACGCGAUGACAUCAAUUCAGACCAAUGUCAAGCUUGGAUUCGCCAUGCCGAAAGGUUUUUCCCCCAGCCGCGUGAACAAUGAGGACAUGUACUGCGAUAUCGAUGAGAACCUAUGGCCAAAGGCACAAGACAAGCUUGAUGCAAAUCAGUGCCUGCUAAAUGUUAUGUUUCUUUUCUUUCAUUAAAUUUCAUUUGAUUACAGUACAUCUAUG